rnacentral:rRNA from 1 species
UGGGGAAUUUUGCACAAUGGGGGAAACCCUGAUGCAGCGACGCCGCGUGAUUUAGAAGGCCUUCGGGUUGUAAAAAUCUUUUGUAUAGGAAGAAAAUGACAGUACUAUACGAAUAAGGACCGGCUAAUUACGUGCCAGCAGCCGCGGUAAUACGUAGGUGGCAAGCGUUGUCCGGAUUUAUUGGGCGUAAAGCGAGCGCAGGCGGUCAAUUAAGUCUGAUGUGAAAGCCCCCGGCUCAACCGGGGAGGGUCAUUGGAAACUGGUUGACUUGAGUGCAGAAGAGGAGAGUGGAAUUCCAUGUGUAGCGGUGAAAUGCGUAGAUAUAUGGAGGAACACCAGUGGCGAAGGCGACUCUCUGGUCUGUAACUGACGCUGAGGCUCGAAAGCGUGGGUAGCAAACAGG